rnacentral:tRNA from 1 species
GGAGACGUGGCCGAGUGGCCGAAGGCGCUCCCCUGCUAAGGGAGUAGCGGGUAACACCGCUCGGAGGUUCGAAUCCUCUCGUCUCCG